AUGCUAUUCACUGUAAGAAUCACUGAGCUCAGGCUUAGGAAGCUACAGGAAUGUGCACUACAAGCACAGCUAAUGGACCCCCAGGAAAGCCAGGCUGUGUGGCAGGGAACUGAGAAUGAAAAUGCUGGUGACAAAGUAGAGAUUCCUGCAUGUACCUUUGGAAAUGCAGCUGGUCUUGGGAGGAACAGGACUCCUAUCCUGCUUGCCUUUCAUAGCAUUUUAGAUUUGCCUUGCAAAUUCAAGCUCACAUUUACUGGAGAUGACUUUAAUGAAAGAUCAUCUCUAAUGGAAUGA
rnacentral:lncRNA from 1 species